AGGUAGCCUAGUGGUUAGAGCAGGUAGUCUAGUGGUUAGAGGCAGGUAGCCUAGUGGUUAGAGCAGGUAGCCUAGUGGUUAGAGGCAGGUAGCCUAGUGGUUAGAGCAGGUAGCCUAGUGGUUAGAGGCAGGUAGCCUAGUGGUUAGAGCAGGUAGUCUAGUGGUUAGAGCAGGUAGUCUACUGGUUAGAGCAGGUAGUCUACUGGUUAGAGGCAGGUAGCCUAGUAGUUAGAGGCAGGUAGUCUAGUGGUUAGAGGCAGGUAGCCUAGUGGUUAGAGCAGGUAGCCUAGUGGUUAGAGCAGGUAGUCUAGUGGUUAGAGGCAGGUAGCCUAGUGGUUAGAGGCAGGUAGCCUAGUGGUUAGAGCAGGUAGCCUAGUGGUUAGAGGCAGGUAGCCUAGUGGUUAGAGGCAGGUAGACUAGUGGUUAGAGCAGGUAGCCUAGUGGUUAGAGGCAGGUAGCCUAGUGGUUAGAGCAGGUAGUCUAGUGGUUAGAGCAGG
ensembl:lncRNA